rnacentral:tRNA from 1 species
ACCUGGGUGGCUCAGUCGGUUAAGCGUCUGACUUCGGCUCAGGUCAUGAUCUCACGGUUCGUGGGUUCGAGCCCCGCGUCAGGCU